rnacentral:lncRNA from 1 species
UUCCUUCAUUGCAUGGAGGACCUUCAGUACCCUGUUACUCGUCAUUACUGGACUUCUAUUAGCAUGUAUAAGCAACGUAGGACUGCGAAUACAAGCAAAAUAUGUCAUGUAGUUGAAGAACCUAUGGUUUUUUUCUACCUUUAGGCAAUCCAACCCUAAGCUAAGCAAAAUAUGUCAUGUAGUUGAAGAACCUAUGGUCUUUUUCUACCUUUAGGCAAUCCAACCCUAAGCUUUUUAUGUUGCUGUCGCUUGCAUUGGGACCCUGAGUUGCUACAAUUGUCAUGGAGUUUGAUGAGAGGAAAAAUGAUUCUAAUAUGCUAGUUCUAAAUGUC